UACGAAGGGGGCUAGCGUUGCUCGGAAUCACUGGGCGUAAAGCGCACGUAGGCGGAUUGCUAAGUCAGGGGUGAAAUCCUGGAGCUCAACUCCAGAACUGCCUUUGAUACUGGCGAUCUUGAGUCCGGGAGAGGUGAGUGGAACUGCGAGUGUAGAGGUGAAAUUCGUAGAUAUUCGCAAGAACACCAGUGGCGAAGGCGGCUCACUGGCCCGAUACUGACGCUGAGGCGCGAAAGCUAGGGGAGCAAACGGG
rnacentral:rRNA from 1 species